GAUGAACGCUGGCGGCGUGCCUAAUACAUGCAAGUCGAGCGAACGGACGAGAAGCUUGCUUCUCUUCUGUUACCGGCGGACGGGUGAUUAACACGUGGAUACCCUAUCUAUAAGACUGGGAUAACUUAGGGAAACCGGAUCUAAUAUCGGAUAUUAUUUUGAACCGCAUGGUUCAUCAGUGCAAGACGGUCUUGCUGUCACUAAUACAUGGUUCCAGGCUGCAUUAGCUAGUUGGUAAGGUAACGGCUUACCGAGGCAACGAUGCAUAGCCGAUCUGAGAGGGUGAUCAGUCACACUGGAACUGAGACACGGUCCAGACUCCUACGGGAGGCAGCAGUAGGGAAUCUUCGGCAAUGGGCGAAAGCCUGAGGCAGCAAAGCCGCGUGUGUGAUGAAGGUCUUCGGAUCGUAAAGCACUUUUAGUAGGGAAGAAGGGAGGUGUAAUUAUAUGUGGAUAUCUUGACGGUACCUACUCAGAAAGCAACGGCUAACUUCGUG
rnacentral:rRNA from 1 species